UACGGGGGGGGCAAGCGUUGUUCGGAAUUACUGGGCGUAAAGGGCUCGUAGGCGGCCAACUAAGUCGGAUGUGAAAUCCCCGGGCUUAACCUGGGAACUGCAUUUGUGACUGCACGGCUAGAGUGCGGCAGAGGGGGAUGGAAUUCCGCGUGUAGCAGUGAAAUGCGUAGAUAUGCGGAGGAACACCGAUGGCGAAGGCAAUCCCCUGGGCCUGCACUGACGCUCAUGCACGAAAGCGUGGGGAGCAAACAGG
rnacentral:rRNA from 1 species